rnacentral:misc_RNA from 1 species
UACGUAGGUGGCAAGCGUUAUCCGGAAUUAUUGGGCGUAAAGCGCGCGCAGGCGGUUUCUUAAGUCUGAUGUGAAAGCCCACGGCUCAACCGUGGAGGGUCAUUGGAAACUGGGAAGCUUGAGUGCAGAAGAGGAGAGUGGAAUUCCAUGUGUAGCGGUGAAAUGCGUAGAGAUAUGGAGGAACACCAGUGGCGAAGGCGACUCUCUGGUCUGCAACUGACGCUGAGGCGCGAAAGCGUGGGGAGCGAACAGG